GAAUUUAUACGUAAAACGUAUUCCUAAAUAUUAUUAAUAAAGUUUUGGUAUAGACGUUAGAACGGUUAGGAUUUUACCCGAUAAGAUAAAGACCUUCUUACCGAGGAGGACUUUUCUUGAACCAUAGACAGACCAACAACUAGAAGUCCAAAAACACCUUAGUUUUUAUCAGACAAUAAACAAUGCAGCUUACCUUAGGUAGAGCGUAUUUGGGGUGCUAAUACCUUCCCUUUACGCAACCAGUCCCCGUACCCGAUCUCUGAGACCAGUUAGGGUUCCUAGUGACCAAAAUACUAGGUGGCGACUCCAAAGAACCAAAUCAAUAAAACAAAAAAAAAUCGCCAGUCGAACCCGCAAGAUGGAUUUUUUUGGGGGUGCGACAAUAGGGAUAUCGUCCACUGCUCCUAUGUAUGCCGACGAGUACUAUUGUAGACGUACUAGUACUUGGGAUAUUCUAUGUCGGUGUUCUUGGGAUAUAUUUCAAUGGGGUCUUUGGUUAGCUAGAAACAAGACGGUGUUCUUGGGAUAUUCUACUGAUUGAGAUACUGUCUUUGAACUGGUUCUUGGGAUAUUUAGCAACUAAAUCUUUGGUAUUCAAUUAAAUAUAAAGAUUCCACUAAACAUCAAAGAAAAAGAAAACAAAACAAGAAAAAGAAAAAGAAAAUAUUUGAGAACUUCGAGAUUCAUCAAAGUAUAGAGAAAACACAUCUUCAGUCAUGUCUACUGACAAAGCUUCCCCUUUUAUUCAAAACUCCAUGGGGAUUUUAUUCGUUGUUUUUAUUAGCAACUUACAGUCCUCUGUUAGCAAUAAUUGUGUGAGUCUAUCCCACAAAUCAUGAAGUGACAAGAAAGAAUUAUGGAGCAAUAAGGAUGAUUAUACUCACAGACAUAUCAAAGGAAAUAUAGUUGGUGAUAAGGACUUCCUAGGAGUAACAAAUUCCGACGUAAAUGGUAGUUCAACAGAUAAAGGAAACUCCAGCAAGAUGACAUCUACACUUGACAAUCCUGUCAAUAUUUAAUUGCUGAAAUCAUGGAGAUAGAAUAACAAUCUUUUCUUUCCUUAUUUCAUGUAACAACCAAGAAUAUAUAAAGUUUAUAUAUAACUUCUCUAUCAUUGAAGAAAAGUAUCGUGUGAGAAAUAAUAUACAAACUUUCCUCUAUAGCAAUUCUAUUUUUUCUCUUGGUAUCAGAGCAGGAACGAUUCUGCUUCUUAUUCUAAACACCAUGUCUUCUCUGUCUUUGAAUGUCCGAAAUUUUGUCACACUUAAACUCACACAAUCCAAUUACCCACUAUGGAGAGAACAAGUUUUAGGUUUAGCAGAGAGCCAAGACUUGGUUGAUCAUCUCACCAAAGAAACACCAAUCCCAACAAAAUAUAUCAUUCCAGAUUCAAACACCAUAGAAGCAGGAAACAUAACACUACAGCUGACAAGAGAAUUCAUUGCUUGGCAAAAGUUUGAUCGUCUUCUCAGGGGUUGGAUAAUUGGAACCCUCUCUGAAGAAGCACUUGGACUUGUCAUUGGCUUAGACACAACACUUCCAGUCUGGGAAGCAUUGAAAGAUGCUUAUGCACAAGACUCCUAAGAGCGUGAGUUUACAUUAUGACAACAACUAACCUAUCUUCGUAAGGAUGACAAUAGGACCAUUAGAGAUCACAUAUGUAUUUUUAAAGGUCUAUGUGACAAUCUUGCUGGUAUUGGAAAACCCCUACCAGAUAAAGAAAAGGUAUUAUGCCUUUUCACAAGUCUAGGACCACAAUAUGAAACCUUUACAACAACAAUGUUGAAACCACCAAGACCAACCUACACAGAACUGAUUUCACAGUUACAAAGCCUGGAUCAACGUCGUAGUUGGUUUUCAAACCAAUCAGAUGCACCUUUUUCUCAACUCACCCCACAUUUAGCCUUUUAUGGACAACAACAGAAACAAUUUCAAGGCAAUAUGCCAAGAAAUCGCAACAACACAUUUACUUCUGCAGGUCGUGGAUUCCAGGCACAACAAUUUCAGAACCAACAACAUAGCUAUUCAGACAAUUCAACAUCAGCUACACAACAAUGACGCCCACCACCGCCAAGAGAACGACGCAUGACAACAGCAGAAUGAGAUCUGUAUCGUAAUGAGACAUGUCAAUAUUGUGAGAAACCAGGCCAUAUUGCCAAAAACUGCUGGUGGAUACAUAAAAAAACAACUCAAAAUGAUGUGAUUCCACAAGCUCUUGUUGCACUCACCUUAGAUAAUUCCAUUACUGAAAUAGAAUGGACUUCUGACACAGGAGCUUCAAAUCACAUGAUAGGAAUGCAAGGUAUAUUGACUAAUAUCCAUAAAUACUCUGGAUCUAAUUCUGUCAUAAUUGGAGAUGGUUCUUCUAUACCUAUCACAGCUAUUGGUGAUUCAUGCAUUAAACAAAAAGAUAAGACAUUGCCUUUUUAUGAUGUUCUUUUAGUUCCAGAUCUAAAAAAGAACUUGCUUUCUAUAAGCCAACUGACCUUUCAAUUUCCUGUCAAUUGUGAAUUUUCUAAUGUUGAUUUUUGUGUAAAGGAAUGCAAGACAAGACAUCGACUAAUAACAGGGAAAAAGAAGGGUGAUCUAUAUGUUUUAUCCAAUGUACCAGAAGCACACUUCUCUUAUUGAUUCAAAUCUGGCACUGUAGACAUUUGGCACCAAUGCUUGGGACAUCCUUAAGCUUCAGCUGUUCCAUUAUUAAAGAAUAAAGGGUUAAUUGAAGUUAUAGGUCCCUUACGGACAAAACAUUUAUGUGAUAGUUGUCAAUUAGGAAAACUUAGUAAACUUCCUUUUGCUCAUUCUGAACACUCUAGCUCUGGCAUUUUUUAAAAGAUUCAUUGCGAUUUGUGGGGACCUGCACCAGUUUUAUCUAUUGACAAGUUUAAGUUUUAUGCAUGUUUAGUUGACGAUUUCUCAAAGUAUACUUGGAUUAUACCUUUGAAGCACAAAUCAGAUUUUUUUACUGCCGAUCUAGCCUUUGAACAAUAUGCUGCAAGACAAUUCAAUAAAAAAAUCAAAAUCUUUCACUUCGAUGGAGGAGGAGAGUUUGUUAACUCUAGAAUGUCAUCACACUAUCUGGCCACAGGUAUUCUUCAUCAGAUCUCAUGCCCCUAUACCCCAGAGCAAACAGGUAUGGUUGAGAGAAGGCACAUAAUUAUACGCGAAUUAGGUAUGAUAAUGUUGUUUCAUAGUAAUGCACCUCUUUCAUUAUGGGUGGAAGCCUUCACCACAACAAUAUUUCUCAUUAAUCGACUACCAUCGUCAUCACUACACUUUGACACCCCAUAUUUCAUGCUACAUGGAAAACAACUUGAUUAUACGUCACUUCGGGUGUUUGGCUUUAAAUGCUUUCCAUAUACAUGGAAUACAAGAAACCAUAAAUUUGACCCGAAAACAGUCUUGUGUGUUUUUGUAGGAUACAAUGAAAAAAAUAAAGGAUACAAGUGCUUUCACCCACCAAGUCAUAAAUUUUUCAUUUCUCGCCAUCUUGUUUUUGAUGAGACUGUUUUUCCGUUUAAAUCAUCUUCAAAUUCACCUGCUGCCUCACAUGUGCUUAAUAUACUUGAUUCCUAGAUACCAUUUUCUAACACUUUUCUAGAAAUAGAUGCUGAAACCGAAGUUCUUCCACAACAGUCUGCAUCCACAAAUCUUAUUCCUCUUUCAACUUGUCGCACGUGUGCGGCGUCGCGGCGAAAAUAUAUCUAUGUUUUCCAUUUUAAAUCUAGGAAUGUAAAUCUAUAUCUAUGUGGCAAGUAUAGGGAAACAAGGAAUUCUUGUCGUUUAUUGGUAGAAAAUGGAAUGGGAGUCGCCACCUAGUAUUUUGGUCACUAGGAACCCUAACUGGUCUCAGAGAUCGGGUACGGGGACUGGUUGCGUAAAUGGAAGGUAUUAGCACCCCAAAUAUACCUUACCUAAGGUAAGCUGCAUUGUUUGAUUGUCUGAUAAAAACUAAGGUGUUAUUGUGUUUCUAGUUGUUGGUCGGUACAUGGUUCAAGAAAAAUCCUCCUCGGUAAGGAGGUCUUUAUCUUAUCGGGUAAAAUCCUAACCGUUCUAACGUCUAUACAAAAACUUUAUUUUUAAUAUUAGGAAUACGUUUUACGUAUAAAUUCGUAAUCCCAAAUACUACAAGAAGACAAAAAGAAUUUUUUAGAAUUUUUGAAAUAUUGGCCUAGUUCUCAUGGCUUGAAUAAACUGGUUAUUAAAGCCAAAAUGCAUGCUAAUACAUAUACUGUUUUGAAAUUUCCUUUGUUGUGUGAAAAUAUGAUGUUAUAAUACUUAUAUAUAUAUAUAUAUAUUGGAGAGACUAGGCCGUAUGCAUGAAAACAAAACAUUUUUCUUUUUUAUAAACUUUUUUUCUUGACGAAAAAAACGGGUAUUUUAAUAUUGGAUUUGUAUCUUUACGGUAUAAAAAUACAAACCAAUAUUAAGUCAUUUUGAUAAAAAUAUGCAGGAAAAUCAACAAUAUUUUUAAGGAUUUUUCAUAAUUUCUGAAAGCAAAAUAUAUUUUUUGUUUAAAUUUUUUGAUGUUUUUGACGAAAACCGGGUAUUUUAAUACUGGAUUUGUAUCUUUACGGUAUAAAAAUACAAAAAAAUAUUCAGCCAUUUUGAUAAAAAUAUGCAGGAAAAUCAACAAUUUUUUUUUUUCAAAGAUUUUUCAGAAUAUCUUUUUUUUUUUUUGAUAUAUAUCCAUAUAUAUAUAAAUAAUAUAAAACAAUAUAGUAAAUAAUAUAAAUAUUAUGUGGGCUGGGCCGACCCAAAUAAAUGGGCCAGACUCAGCCCUAAAAGGAUUGGGCCGAUCUCGGCCCAAAAGGAGACUAGGCCGAUCUCGGCCCAACAAAACUUCUCUUUAAUCCGGCCCAGACCCGGCCCAGACAUGCAAGGCUGGGCCAGAAUCGGUCUGGCCCAGAAAUACAUUAAAGCUGGUCCAGAAACAGCCUGGCCCAGCGAGAGGAAACCCAACGGGGGGGGGAAUUAAUUUUCCCCUCCCCUCCUCCUGCAUGCAGAAUCAGGAGGAAAACGCAUGCAGCAAAAAUGCAGGGGAGAAGAAGACUGUACCUGGCGUGGAGGAGGCGAUCGCUGGUGGUGCUGCGGUGGAGGCCGGUGGCGGUGUCGUGGCUCACGGACGGCGGCUCCAAGCGGCGGUGCUGUUGUUCAAACGGCGGAGAGAGAGAUUUCUUCCUCUUCCCCCUCUCCUCUUUUUUUCGUUUUCGGUGGUUCUCUCUGUUCUUUCCUUUCUCUUUGUUCUCGAUUUGUUUGUUUGUUUUUUUUUUUUUUUUUCCGUUUGUUCCUUCUCUUCCCUCUCUCUCGUUCGUUCUCUCUCUUCUCUCUCUCUCUCUCUCUCUCGCUCUCUCGGUUCCCCUCGUUUUUCUUUCUUCUUUUUUUCCUCCUUUUCACUCCUUUUUUUUCUCCUCUCGGUUCCUCCUCCUCGCGUGCUGGCGUUCAUUCUCCAUUUAUAGGGGGCAAAGGGAGCGGGGCCUCAUCAUGGCUGCAUGGGGAGUGGGGCAGCGCCGGUCGGUUGGCCAGUGGGUGCGACUGGCAAGGCGCGGCUCCCCUGACUUUUCAUCAUGACAGGGCGUGGGGUUUCGGGUCGUGGCAGGCGUUGGCGGACGAGAGAGGCAGCAACAUUUAAAGAAGAAAAAAACAAAAUCUUUCUCUCUUCCCCUGCUGCACGUCCAGGGGAAGAAGAAAGAGGAACAUUGUCUCAAACCGACACCGUUAUGAGCUUUUCCUUUUCUUUUCUUUUUUUUUUUUUUUUUUUUUAAAAAACAUGAAACGGCGUCGUUUUGGACAAAACGCGCCGUUUCAUUUAAAUGGCGCCAACACGUCAACUUCCAAAUCAGCCCUCAAUUAUAUUUUGUACAUUUCAAUUGCAUCCCUUUCAAUUUCCGUCUCCGCCCCUCUUGUUGGCCGCGUUUUUCACUUUGAUCCUUGGUCUCUGAUUUAUGCAAUUUGACCCUCAAUUAAUCAAUAAACUUCUAAUUUCUUCAAUUAGGCCCCUGAAUCAAUUCAAAACAGCCCCCUCUAUCUUCACGCCUUUUCCAAAUUGGUCCCUGGUUUCGGAUUUUCACAAUUAAGCCCCUAAUUGGCCAUUAAACUUCAAUAUUUAUGCAAUUAAGCCCCUGAUUUGACCUAAUAAAUUCCUAAAAAAUAUAUUUUGGCCCCAGAACUUAAAUUUCUUCUAAUUAAAGUCCAAAUUGACUUAAAAAUCAAUUUUUCUUGCACUCAAAUCCUCUAUAAAUUCAAUUAAAAAUCCAAUUAAGUCCAUAAAUCUCCAAAUUUGGACUUUUCUCCUCAAAAAAUCAAAUUUUCUUAUCCACCAGGGCUCUCAUCAUUCAAAAAUAUAUUGUCAAAAAUCCAUCUUUGUAUUUUUAACCUCCUUGACUAAUUUUUCUAACCAUUUUCUGGGCGCUUCAUGCCUCCUGUUAUUUUUCUAACCUCUUUUGGCUAUUUAUUUUAUUUUUUUGUGGGGACCAAAAAAAGGGUUACAACACAACUGUUGAUCACCAUUCCUGGUAGUCUGCAUCACAUUCAACACAUGAAACAACUGCACUCGAAAAUGAUGUAACAAAUUUUAAUACUCAGCUUUCAACAGCUCGCCCCAUGCAUACCCCAAUGCCAGUAUUAAACACUGAAAUACAACCUGCACUCUUCCCUCAAAUUAAUGAUCCACAAAUUGCAGAGCCUCAUCCACCCCAUCCUUCUUAAGAAGCAACAACCCGUCAUCCUAUGCUAACCAGGUCCCAGCAUGGAGUAGUGAAGCCGAAUCCUAAAUAUGCCUUGACAAUAACCUCAUCCCCAACGAUACCUCGUGAACCAAACAACAUUAAAGCAUCCUUGAUGCAUCCCGGUUGGAAAGCUGCAAUGGAUGAUGAACUUACAGCACUUCAUCACAAUGAUACAUGGCAAUUAGUUCCCCACACACCAGAUUUGCAUGUGAUUGGGUCCAAAUGGAUUUUUAAGACCAAACUGAAACCAGAUGGAACAUUGGAUCGCUUAAAAGCAUGGUUAGUUGCCAAAGGCUAUCAUCAGAUUGAUGGUAUUUAUUACAUAAAUACCUUCUCUCCUGUAAUAAAACUAGGGUCAUCAACAAAAUUGGUCGACUCUUUUAUUCACAUACUAAGUUGUGAAUUUUCAAUGAAAGACUUAGGACAUGUGCAUCAUUUCUUAGGCGUUGAAAUUUCUACCACAACAGAUGGACUCUAUUUGUCUCAAUCACAUUAUGCAUUUACCAUCCUUGACCACUCCAGUAUGCUUCAUUGCAAACCCAUGAGCACGCUUUUGGAAACCAAAUUCAAAAUAGAUGCAGAAACAUCCUUCGUUGCUGCUGAUCCCAGUCAGUUUCGUAGGAUUGUGGGAGCUCUCCAAUACCUCACUCUCACGCGACUUGAUCUAUCCUACAAUGUCAACUAUGUUUCACAAUUCAUGCACAAUCCUACAGUUGCACACUUGAAAUUGGUUCAGCACAUCCUUCGAUACCUCAAAGGAACAAUAGCUACUGGUCUUCAUCUCUCAUCCAAUACAACACUUGAUUUACAUGCCUUCUCUAAUGCGGAUUGGGCAGGCUGCCCUAUAACACGAAGAUCUACCACUAGUUACUGCACCUUUCUUGGCACCAAUAUCAUUUCAUGGUGUGCAAAAAAACAACACAUAAUCUCGCGAUCUAGUACUAAAGCUGAAUAUCGAGCUAUGGCUAAUACUACUGUUGAACUUACGUGGCUCACUUACAUCCUCACAGAUCUUCUCAUAUCUCUAUCACAUCCACCAGUUCUCUACUGUGAUAAUAUCAGUGCAUUAUACAUGACCAUUAAUCCUGUUUUUCACGCUCGGAGUAAACACAUUGAGUUGGAUUACCAUUUCGUACGCGAACGAGUUGCACUUGGAUUACUUGUCACUAAACAUGUUUCCUCGGCUAACCAGGUUGCUGAUAUAUUUACAAAACCAGUGCCCAAGGCUGCCCUCUCUUACUUUUGCAACAAACUGUGCCUUCAACCUCGGCUCAGUUUGCGGGGGGAUAUUAGAAACUUACAGUCCUCUGUUAGCAAUAAUCGUGUGAGUCUAUCCCACAAAUCAUGGAGUGACAAGGAAGAAUUAUGGAGCAAUAAGGAUGAUUAUACACACAGACAUAUCAAAGGAAAUAUGGUUGGUGAUAAGGACUUCCUAGGAGUAACAAAUUCCUACGUAAAUGGUAGUUCAACAGAUAAAGGAAACUCCAGUAAUAUGACAUCUACACUUGACAAUCCUGUCAGUAUUUAAUUGUUGAAAUCAUGGAGAUAGAAUUGUCGCACCCCAAAAAAAAUCGAGCGCGCGGCAUCGGCUGGCGAUUUAAAUCUCGUUUGUUGCGUUUGCUUGAAUUGGUUCGUUGGAGUCGCCACCUAGUAAUUGAUUGCGGGCUACUAGGAAACCGGAUGUACUGGUCUCGUCAGAGAUUCGCGGGUAAGGGACUGGUUGUGGUUAGGGAAGGUAUUAGCACCCCUAACGCACCCUACCUGAGGUAAGCUGCUUCGUGAAUUUGAUGUGUUAAAGAAGUUUUAAUAAUUGUCUUUUCAUCGGAAAUUAGAAAUAUCACUUACGUAUAAGUUAAUAAUUCUUAACCGUGAUCCGAUCAAAAUAUUAAAUUCUUCUUUAAUAGAUUUGCAAUUUUAUCCUAAAAAAUAAAUAAAGAAAUAAAUAAAAUAACAAAUUCAUAAAACAAAUACAAACACACACAUACACUUUCACUAUUUUUAUUUCUUUUCUUUUCUUUUACAUCCACUAUACAAAUACAAAUACAAAUACAAAUUCAAAUUCAAAUUCAAUAAAUAAAAAUUACAUUAAUUAAUUUAAAAAUUACAAAAUAGUCCCUAAAAACUCCAGAAAUUGCAGGGAAGGACUUCUGGGGCUGCAUGAACAGUAGCGGCGCGUCUUCCCACGCGCCCCGCCACUGGCGGCGCGUGGGUUCACGCGCCGCCGCUGGAAAACCGAAAAAACAGGGGCGCCUGGGGCGGCUUCCUCCCCUCUUCGUUCUUCUGCCGGCGGUGACCUGAAAAGAAAAAUCAAAGCACAAAAGCCAGUUGAUUUUAGUUAUUUUUCCACCACUGUUUUCGGAUCUGCUUCUCCUCUCUUUUCUUUAAAUCUGCCGAAUCUGAAGCUGGAUGCUACACGGGCCGCCGAUGACAGUUCAGGCAUGUGGAUGUCAGGAUCGACAACUUCCAUCUUCCUCCUUCAUUUCUACACCGGCGGUGUCGUCCACCGCUGCAACUGUUGGGAGAUCGGCGCGCCUUUCAAGUCUCGGUUUUCUGCUCCCUUCUACUGUCCUUCGGUUGGUUCUCCUUCUGUCAUGGCCGAUCUGGUGGCUGGGAGUAUUUCUUCUUCUCCUCCGCUUCAAGUGGCUGGCGGUGAAGAGGAACAACCGAAAAGGGGGCGCCGCUGCUGCUGGAAGAAGGAGCUGGGUCUGCGGAGAAGAUGGAAAUCGUGGCCGAGAGAGAGAGGUCAGUCCGAUGCUCUCCGGUUUGUUUAGCAAAGCCAAGGGAAAAAAUAAGUGGUCGGCUGGUGGUUUGUGAGAAGGAGAAAAAUGGGGAAGAGGGCAGCUGCAGUCGGCUGCGGUGGAGGGGACGACGGCGGCGUGGUGAGGCUGUUUUGAGAAGAAGAAAAUCUCAACCGGGGAAGGGGGCUAUGGUGUGGAGGCCAGGAUUUUGUGGGGGAAAAGAAGGAAAAGCUGGAACUGGCCGGGAGAGAGGAUAAGAAAAAAAACGAGAAUGGCCGGGGAACAGUGUCAGGUGAGGGGCUGAUGUUUGGCUUGUGUUUGUGGCCGACGGCUAUAGAAAAAUUCAAACCAAAUGGGGGGGGGCGGCUUGUCUUGAAAAAAAGGGUUUAGGGUUAGGUUUUGUAUUUUUUCUGAAGUUGUCAAAAUUGCCCCCCCUUGUGUGAGUUAAAGACCAGUAUUUAUAGGAAAAAUUUGCCAGUUUUUCAACUUGGUCCCUCAACUUCUUUCUUUUUGUAAAUUUUGAUUUUUCUUAUUUUUUUGUAUUUUUUGAAAACGAGCAAUAUCAACGUCGACUAAAAUGCGGAAAAUCAAUGAUUUUAAAAAUGACGCUUGAAAAGUCGAACGCAUUUGAAAAUCUUUUAACAAUUUAAAUUCUUUUUUAGACGACGUUGAAAAUGCUGAAAUGACAAAAAUAUAUUAAAAAAAACAUAUUUUUUGGAUUUUCUUUGUUUUUCUCUAUUUUUGAAUUUUUUGAAAAUAUAUCAAAAACAUGGGUCAAAAAUUGGGUAGCAACAGUUGCCCCCUCUUUACAAUGCUUACGAAGCAAAACUCCUCAAAAUUUUGAAUAGUAAGCUUUGUAAAGAAAACAAAAGGAAAAUGAUUUCAUUAUCUUGGGCAACCUGCCUACACAUACUCACUCUAGUCUAUUUUCACGGGCGACCGACCCACACUCUCCCAAUAGUCUAUUUUCACGGGCGACCUGCCCACACAUUGGGUUUACCUGAGAUCCCAUCUGGCGACCUCAUUCAACUGGAACGAAAAUAUUGUGUAACUCGGUUAACCUGAAAUCCCAUCUGGCGAUUCCCUUUAACCAAAGUUACAUGAGAUCCCAUCUGGCGACCUCGUUCAACUGGAACGAAAUAUGCGUAACUCGGUUAACCUGAAAUCCCAUCUGGCGAUUCCCUUUAACCAAAGCUACAUGAGAUCCCAUCUGGCGACCUCAUUCAACUGGAACGAAAAUAUGUGUAACUCGAUCAACCUGAAAUCCCAUCUGGCGAUUCCCUUUAACCAAAGCUACAUGAGAUCCCAUCUGGCGACCUCAUUCAAUGGCACGAAAUAUGUGUAACUCGGUUAACCUGAAAUCCCAUCUGGCGAUUCCCUUUAACCAAAGCUACAUGAGAUCCCAUCUGGCGACCUCAUUCAAUGGAACGAAAUAUGCGUAACUCGGUUAACCUGAAAUCCCAUCUGGCGAUUUCCUUUAACCAAAGCUACCCGAGAUCCCAUCUGGCGACCUCAUUUAACCAAAACAAAAGAAUGUGUGAAAAAUGGUCUCAUUGUAUGGGUGACAAACCCAAGAAAAAAAUGAUGGUCACAUUGUAUGGGUGACGAACCCCAGAAAAAUGAUGGUCUCAUUGUAUGGGUGACGAACCCCAGAAAUAUGAUGGUCUAAUUGUAUGGGUGACGAACCCCAGGAAUAUGAUGGUCUCAUUGUAUGGGUGACGAACCCAGAAAAUGAUGGUCUCAUUGUAUGGGUGACGAACCCAGAAAAAAUAUGAGUGUGGUCUCAUUGUAUGUGACCUACCCAAAAUGGAAAAAAUGAAGUGUGGUCUCAUUGUAUGGGUGACUACCCAGAUGGAAAAAUAUGAUGAAGUGGUCUCAUUGUAUGGGUGACCUACCCAUAGAAGAAUGUGAAAAUGCGUGGUCUCAUUGUAAUGGGUGACCUACCCAGAUGGAAAAAAUGUGAAGUGGUCUCGUCUCAUGGGUGACCUACCCGAUGGAAAAAAUUGAAUAACGGUCUAUUGAUGGGUGACCUACCCAGAUGGAAAAAAUAUGAAGUGGUCUAUUGAUGGGCGACCUACCCAGAUGGAAAAAUGAUGAAGUGCGGUCUCAUUGUCAUGGGUGACCUACCCAGAUGGAAAAAAUGUGAAAAACGGUCUUAUUAUGAUGGGCGACCUACCCAGAUGGAAAAAAUGUGAUAUGACAAGUGUGAAAAAUAGGACUUACCUGGCGAAGUUCUGAAGGGAUGACAGAAGAAAGGGCUGGAAAACUUGGUGCUUCCUGAUAAUUCCCGAUCAGGGUUUGAAAACUCGGUGUUUCCUGACUGCAAGGGUUGAAAACUCGAGGCUUCCCGGUUGCAAGGUUGAUCUAUUCAUUUCUUUGGGAUUUUCCUAAUGGUAGGGUUCAUCCCAUCGUCCUUUUAUUCCAUGAUCAAAACCGAUUCUUUAUUAUCAUCACCACAAUGCUUCUUUCUCUUUCCACCAUCUUGCUGGACCUCAUUAAGGAUUUUCCUGUAACAAUUCAAAAAUAUGUGCAAAUGUUUUUUUUUUUUUUUUUUUUGAGGUUAGAUGAUAUGCAUGCAUCCUUACCUGAUUUGAAAAUAGGUCCCCCCUCUUUGAUGCUCCAUCGUCAUAGGGUGCCCUUGUUUGUAUCCCAAAGCUUUCUUUGUUUUCCGAUGCAUUGGCUCAUUCAUGUGUUAGCCAUCCACUCAGCUGUAAAUGCAGUGCCCAUCCCGGGCUGUCUUCGACAAUUACUGCUUGCAUCGUUCAUGAAGCUUGACCCUGCCCCCAAGUGUAGUACUGCUUGAUUCAUCAUGAGAGAUUUUCUCUCCUGGCUUCUUCUGAGAAAUUAUCCUCUGAUUGAUUGUGUGCAUCAUGCCAACACCCAUCACGUUUGUUAAUCAGUCAUGAACUUGCCUUCGGUUGAAACACCAUUCAAGUAUGUAUGGUCACCAGCCUUCAUGGAACUGCCAAGUCAUCCAGACAUGUAUCUCAUGCUUUGCAGUAAACAGCUCAUCAUUGUAAGCGCGAUGUAUUUCUCUAUGGAUUCCUCUUAGCUUGUCAAAUCAGAUCGUGAAAAUACCUGCUUUGGCAUCAUCAAUGAUGUUCAUGUUAUCAUAUUCAUGCGGUGAAGUGUGCAUUUGAGCUUCAGAAUAGAUGUCCCACAAUCAGUCUUCGAGGUGGGUGCCUUUCCGACAUUCAUUCAGUGCAGUUGUGUGAUAACAUCUGUCUAUAACCAUGUUUCAAAGAAUGACAAUAUGAGAUUGUCCUUUAAGUGCAGCAUUGUUCCACAGUCAGUCUUGGUGGUAUGCAUCUUUUCUCCAUUCAAUUACAUUCAUCUGUGUAUUCCUCAUCGAUCGCGAGCCAUGUUUCAAAAAAUGAUGAUAGGAAAGUGCCCUUCAGGUACGUUUUUGUUUCUCCAUUGCCGACAGGAUUCACUAAAGCAUGGGCCAUUUUGGAAUGACAUUGCCCCCAGUAUGAUCCGAAUGUGCUCGUUCAUUGAUUAUCUGUCUUUGAACAUCAUUGUCUUCAGUUCACUGAUUCAUCAUUUAAACAUUGCCUCAUAGCUGAUCUGAGCACUGCUUGUUUUUCCUUUUCAAGGUCUACUGUAUUGCCCCAGCUGCUCAACUUUUCAAGGAGUGUCGAGGACUUCAAUGUCAUUUCUAUCAACGAUUUUGCAUACUCAAUCAAUGUUCUUCUGUGUUUGAUAAUCUUCCUUGUUCUGGAAUCAACUCUCAUAUUUCAAAGAUCAUGUCUAUUCAAAGUCUAGUUUGUUGAAAUGAAAUCAGAGAUGUCUUUUUUUGAAAAUCUUUUGAAAAUCAAGCUUUUUGAUCAAAGGCCCAACACAUUUUAUUCGAAAUAUAUAGUCCUUUGAUUGUCAUGCAUUUUGAAAACAGAAAUUGACCCAAUGUAGGAUUAAAAAUGGCUUUUUCCAUGGUUCUUUGUAUCAAUUUGAAUCCUUGAUAUUGGGUAUAUCAUUUGAUAGUCUAUGAUGAGGUGACCUUUGCAUGAAUUUCAAAAAAAACAAAAAUGCUCAAGUCAAAACUCCGGCUUUAUCAAGAAAGGUUGUUUCUCUUCUUAUAACUUGUUUUAUCAGCAUGCAUAAUAACCAAUAGCUUAAUUCAUGAAGUCACGACCCUUAUGGAAAAACUCUUCAAAUUUUGAGAGCGCCAUUUAUCGGUUCAAAUUGCUUGCUUGAUUAAAAAGGGCUUUUAAAAGCACGUAAUGCAGGCUAUGGUUCAUGGCUAUGAAAGAAAGGAAUUUCAAAGGCUCAAAAGGUGUUUGAGGGUUUCAAAGACCUAGGAUCAACAUCAACUAUUCAUCAAUUUCUUUAUUGUUGUCUUGUAGAGGAAACGACAUAUAACCUUGUUAACCUCAAAGUUCAGACUUUUCUUAACAUAAGUCAUAAUGCAAAUCCACUUUCUUGAUGAAUAACCAACCUUAAUCAUCUGAUAACAUCAUAGGUUUUAUAAUGGAUACCAAAAGUCAACGCUUAUAGCUUAGUCUUUUUCUGGUAUUGACUUUUGUUGUGCCUUUCCUUGAUUGAAAUUUCUUUUGCUCUUCAUAGACUUGAUAGGCGUUCUCCUUCCUUUAUCUUUGACUUGUAUUUAAGUGAAGGCAAUUCCAACUUCCUCCUUUUUUUUUUUUUCAUAGCCUUCCUCAAAAUUUUCUUAUAUGCCCCCAGUCUAUGUGUUUUCUUUUAGCUCUCUCUCAAUCAUUGGACCUUUGUUCUAAGCCUUCCCCUUUAUCCAUUAAUUAUAUCAAUGUCUCCAAAAUAUCUCUCAUUUGCCCCCAGUGUGGGGUGUGAUCCUAGUCAGGGUUUCUUUUUUUGAAAGAAAAUAUUUUACCAGGCUCAAAAUGGGACUGCAAGGGAUAUAAUCUUUAGAAAGUGAAGGGAUAUCAAAGAUGGCCUUUUCUCAUUUCAAGCAAGGUCGGUUAAACCGAUAAAUUUUGACCUCAUCAGUGUAAUGAUUGGGACUUGUAAGAAUCAUGAUUCACGAGUCCAUAACUACCGAAUCCACUACAUGUCAUUAUGCAUACUUAAAACUUAGCUAUAUGAUGUGUGGUUCAGUUUCAAGGUAUGAGUUCAAAAUUGUUUGGUCACCUCAUGUCAUUUUCAAGCAUAGAGUCAUUUCUGUAAUCAAAACACUUUUAAUCUUCCGGAUUGAUUAACCUUUAUCGCAUGUUGGAGUUUGAUCAAAAUAUUUUGUCAGAAUAAAAUGCUAAACAUCUGUUGAUUUCAAAACAACAAAGAGACAAAAGCAAGGCAUGUUUCGUUGAAGGAUGAGAUGUGAUCCCAAAACAAAAUGCAGAAUUCCAAACAAUAUGAUUGACUGUUCAUCACCAUUCUUGAAUCAGCUUUUCUGGCAAUAUUGCGUUUUGCAAGCAUUUUCGAUCACAUGUCAUUCUGAAGAUGUUCGGGGAACAAUAUAGCCAAUGACACCCUCUCUUGCUCACCAACUUUCAGACUCAAUUCUUGCAAUUCUUGAAACUGUUCAUUGAAAUGGUUGAGGACCCCAAUGACAUCACAUCUCUUAUCUGGAUUAUACCACCUGAAAAUUGGUGGUUGCAUGGGAUUUGUCGGAGUCAAGCAAAAUUCUGGAAUCUGGCAGAUGCUGGUCGACAAACUUAAAUGGCAGGGAAUGUCCCAUCUUGGCAAAGAUUUUGAGCAAUUGAUGCUACCGUGAGACCUGGCUAUACCACAUAAUUAAGGGCUCACACCGUCAAAGUCAUCUCCUGAUUCACCUCUCAUCAUUGUUCUAGAAUCCAUGGCAGAUCCUUCAAUCUUUCUCUCUUCAUAGCUUGUUCAAUUCUUCGGCAAAUCCUCACAACAUUAUUUCAAUCUUCCAAUGUUGCUAUGGUUGGUUGAGGAUUGUUAGAAAACUUCUAAAGCUUGGUAAUCUUGGCAGCGCCAAAAGUAUCGCCAACGACGUGUGGAAUCACACAUUGUCUAUUGGAAGAGCACCUGAUGAAUCUAAAACUCCUUUGUCCCCUCUUCGAUUUCUCACUGACAGUGCAGCAAACAAACACCUAUAGAGGAAGUCCUGCUCUGUUGAAGUUUCAGUAUUCUUCAUGUUUUUCAGUCUAGGCAUGUCUCUUUCUCUACUUUUGUUUUAAUACUGACACUGUUGGAGGAAAAUCAUAGAUGACCUGAAACUACUGUAUUCCUUCUUGGACUUCCCACUUGCGGAUCCACAAACAGAUUCCUGCUGAGUGAGCUUUGCUACGUUGAAGUUUGAUGUCUGCUCAUAUUUUUCAGACCAGGUCUGGCUCUUCAACCUACUAAGAGGUCUUCGUGCUGAAACUGAUGAGAGAAAUAUUUGUAGCAUAUGCAACUUAUAAAUCCCCUCUUGCUUCCAAUUUGCAGAGCCAUAAAUUGAUUUUUGUAGAGAGAGCUCUGCCACAUUGAAGUUCAGUGUUCAAUCAUGGUUUUUCAGACCAUCUUGUGCUGCUGAACUGGAAUUGAGCUCGUAAUUGGGGUAACUUCAAAGCAGAUUAAUGCACCAUGUACAUGAGGCUAGUGUUUGGUUCCAUUAGAUGAUGUGGAGGCGAUGAACACUUAACAGUGCAACUGGACAAGAAUCAGAGUUGUCAUUAGUUGAUGACUGAAGGCAUUGUUGUUUGUUCAUGACGGAAAAAGGAGAGAUACAAGCUUCAAUUGGAUGGAACAAGCAGUGUUCCCACAUAAGACUGUGCAGAUAUUCUCUUUCCAUUUGAUGCUCAACACUUGUUCGAGCAGAUCUGAGUCCCGCUACUUCACCCUUGAUGCUCUCAACCUUAAUCUGAUACUGAACCUAUAUCUGACUCCUUUGUUCACUUCCAUUAUCUUUCUUCAAUCUCGUGCAGCACAACUUGUACAGGGGACCUACGUUUCGACCCGGUUCAUGCAUGAUAAAUGUAUGAACAUGUAAUCUAUAUGAUGAACGCACCCUUCGAGAGGUGACAAUAUGGUCGUAACUCUUGUAUGAUGGACAAGAAUCGUGAUUUUUGCCCAAACUCUACAAUGAAAAUUUUCGGAGCAACGGCCAACGUGUCACCCACAAGUCUUGAGUUCAAGAUGCUUCAAGAAGGGUUUGCCCUUAUGCAAAAAACGAUAGCACAUACAACCUAAGGACAGGUUCUAUUCAUUAUGUGAACAUGGGUAGGUUUUCUAUCUGGUCUCAAAAGGGUCUCAUAUCUGCCCAGUGACGUUCUUCGUAAAGACAGUAUGGGGGCGUUGCAAGGAAUGGUUAAGGCACGUAUACCCACCAUUACCAAGCAGGCACUCAGAUAUGAGUUGGGUGUUUCACGCAUCUGAACCCUGAAUAGUCUUAGGGCAGAUCGCUAGUUCCCCACCUAACCUAGAAGCUUGUGUGUGCUUUUAAAAAUAAAUACAGGUGAUGCAUGAACAAUUCUAUAAAAUGCAUGGAAAUAAAUAUUAACAAAAGAUAAAAAAAAAACUUAAACACAUCAAAUACACAAAGCUUAGUCCAAUAAUCGAAAAUACCUUCCCCAGUGGAGUCGCCAUUCUGUCGCACCCCAAAAAAAAUCAGCGCGCGGCAUCGGCUGGCGAUUUAAUCUCGUUGUUGCGUUUUGCUUGGUUCGUUGGAGUCGCCACCUAGUAAUUGAUUCGGGCUACUAGGAAACCGGAUGUACUGGUCUUGUCAGAGAUUCGCGGGUAAGGGGGGUUGUGGUUAGGGAAGGUAUUAGCACCCUAACGCACCCUACCUGAGGUAAGCUGCUUCGUGAUUUGAGUGUUAAAGAAGUUUUAAUAAUUGUCUUUUCAUCGGAAAUUAGAAAUAUCACUUACGUAUAAGUUAAUAAUUCUUAACCGUGAUCCGAUCAAAAUAUUAAAUUCUUCUUUAAUAUUUGCAAUUUUAUUAAAUAAAUAAGAAAUAAAUAAAUAAAAAAAAAAUAACACACACAUACACUUUCACUUUAUUUCUUUUCUUUUUCUUUUCUUUUUCUUUUUUUUCUUUUACAACUAUAAUACAAAUACAAAUCAAAUUAAAUAAAUAAAUAAUUACAUUUUAAUUUAAAAAUUACAAAAAGUCCCUAAAAACUCCAGAAAUUGCAGGAAGGACUUCUGGGCUGCAUGAACAGUAGCGGCGCGUCUUCCCACGCGCCCCGCCACUGGCGGCGCGUGGGUUUCACACGCCGCCGCUGGAAAACCGAAAAAACAGGGGCGCCUAGGGCGGCUUCCUCCCCUCUUCGUUUCUGCCGCGUGACCUGAAAAGAAAAAUCAAAGCACAAAAGCCAGUUGAUUUUAGUUAUUUUUCCACCACUGUUUUCGGAUCUGCUUCUCCUCUCUUUUCUUUAAAUCUGCCGAAUCUGAAGCUGGAUACACGGGCCGCCGAUGACAGUUCAGGCAUGUGGAUGUCAGGAUCGACAACUUCCAUCUUCCUCCUUCAUUCUACACCGGCGGUGUCGUCCACCGCUGCAACUGUUGGGAGAUCGGCGCGCCUUUCAAGUCUCGGUUUUCUGCUCCCUUCUACUGUCCUUCGUUGGUUCUCCUUCUGUCAUGGCCGAUCUGGUGGCUGGAGUAUUUCUUCUUCUCCUCCACUUCAAGCUGGCGGUGAAGAGGAACAACCGAAAAGGGGCGCCGCUGCUGCUGGAAGAAGGAGCUGUCUGCGGAGAAGAUGGAAAUCGUGGCCGAGAGAGAGAGGUCAGUCCGAUGCUCUCCGGUUUGUUUAGCAAAGCCAAGGGAAAAAAUAAGUGGUCGGCUGUGGUUGUGAGAAGGAGAAAAAUGGGAAGGGGCAGCUGCAGUCGGCUGCGGUGGAGGGACGGCGCGUGGUGAGGCUGUUUUGAGAAGAAGAAAAUCUCAACCGGGAAGGGGGCUAUGGUGUGGAGGCCAGGUUUUGUGGGGAAAAGAAGGAAAAGCUGGAACUGGCCGGGAGAGAGGAUAAGAAAAAAAACGAGAAUGGCCGGGGAACAGUGUCAGGUGAGGGGCUGAUGUUUGGCUUGUGUUUGUGGCCGACGGCUAUAGAAAAAUUCAAACCAAAGGGGGGGGGCGGCUUGUCUUGAAAAAAAGGGUUUAGGGUUAGGUUUUGUAUUUUUUCUGAAGUUGUCAAAAUUGCCCCCCCCUUGUGUGAGUUAAAGACCAGUAUUUAUAGGAAAAAAUGUUGCCAAGUUUUUCAACUUGGUCCCUCAACUUCUUUCUUUUUGUAAAUUUUGAUUUUUCUUAUUUUUUUGUAUUUUUUUUGAAAACGAGCAAUAUCAACGUCGACUAAAAUGCGGAAAAUCAAUGAUUUUAAAAAAUUACGCUUGAAAAGUCGAACGCAUUUGAAAAUCUUUUAACAAUUUAAAUUCUUUUUUAGACGACGUUGAAAAUGCUAAAAUGACAAAAAUAUAUUAAAAAAAACAUAUUUUUUGGAUUUUCUUUGUUUUUCUCUAUUUUUGAAUUUUUUGAAAAUAUAUCAAAAACAUGGGUCAAAAAUUGGGUAGCAACAAGAAUAACAAUCUUUUCUUUCCUUAUUUCGUGUAACAACCAAGAAUGUAUAAAUUUAUAUAUAACUUCUCUGUCAUUGAAGAAAAGUAUUGUGUGAGAAAUAAUAUACAAACUUUCCUCUUUAGCAAUUCUAUUUUUCCUCUGUUUUGCUACUGACAUCAUGUAAGAUUCUCUCAAAUUCAUUAAUUUUCCAUCUCAAAACAAUUUUUUCCCUUUCACUUUGUUUGCUAGUAAGAAUAUCUUUAAACUAUUUUUUUUUUAUCAAUUAUAAGAUGUUAAAUAGGUUAUUCACACACAUAAAUAGGAUUGUUUUUUCUUCCUUUCAUCUUGAGCCUAAUAAUCAAGAUUUAAUGGUUCGGUGACAGAGCAGGUAUCAGCACGAGGAGCAGUAGUACCCUGCCUAGGUCCAUGUCCAGAGUUCCCAAACUGCUACAAGUCUUGCGUCGCGAAAGGAUACAAGGGAGGUGGUUGUGUUGGAUUCUUGGGCAGUCGACCAGCUUGCUGCUGUUUCCAGAGCUGAAAUGCCUUCGUUGCCAUAAACGAAUAGAUGAAUAUAACAAGAGCGUCAUGAAUAUUGUCAUUUCAAAAUAAUUGCUUGAUAAAUCCUACAUAAAAAAAAAUAGCACCUUCUUGAUUUUUGACCUUUACCUGAAUUUGCCAUAACUUCUCUGCUUUCAUAAACCUUUUGUCACAGUAGAUCAUGAGUUUUUUUCAUUGACUAACUUUAUUUACUAUUCAAAUAUUAAAUUUAUUAAUCAAAUGAAUAUUAAAAAUAAAUAUAUUUACUCACAAAAUCAAUACACAUGUCAUUAAUUAAUUGACUAUAGAUCAUAUACAUUAACAACUACAACUAGGUUGUUGUUUGGAGACUCAAAUUCCUCCAUUAGUCUAUGAAUUCUUUCAUAAUGUAAAUCUCUUUGAGUAUAUCCAAGAGCAAAAAUGAGGAGUUUGGAUUUUCACGGGAAAUGCAAUUAAGGAUUGGUACUGAAUUUGCUGGAGCACCUUCUCAUCAUCAUUCGUAUGUAUUUAUUCUUAUUUAUCACCUGUGAUAUUAAGUUGUUCGAUGAGAGAUAUAGAUCAAAAGUAUCAGAUUUUGGGACCUUAAGAUCGAUCAUUGAUCAAACUCAACUGACCAUUCAAAUGCAAGACACUUUUGGAUACUUGGACCCACAACACUGUCAAUUUACUAAGAAAAAAUUAUAUUUAUAUUGGUGUAGUUUUUAAAUAAAUAAAGAAUGAAAAAAUAAAAUACUCUAUUAAGCUUUUAUAAAUGUUUAUUUCUAUUAUAUAGUAAAUUAAAUGAAAGUUAGGGUAGAUAAGUUUUUCUAAUAAGUUUUUUAUAUAGAUAUUUAUAAUAUUAAAAUAUAGUACUUUGGACUAAAUAUAUAUCUUAGUGAGAUUAAUUUGUCUUUUGAAUAUAUUUAUUUAAUUUUUGUGAUUAAUUUUAACAUUUGUGAGUAUUGAAAUAAAACUAAAUAACAAUUAUUCAAUUUAAUUUUAAAUAUAAUUGUUUUAUUAAUAAUUAUAUAAUUUUAUUAACAGUUGUUAUAUUAACAGAUAUAAUAUUUAAUUAUAAUAUUUUAAAAUCUAAACAAAGAGAACAUAUAAAAAAAAAGUAUUGUCUUCUCUUCUCGUAAUAUUAACAUACUUAAGUUUUUUUUAUGUUUUUUUUUUAAAACCUAAUCGGUCCAGGUCUGGAUUGACCUCUCGGUUUUAAAACAAUGAUAAAAAAGGUAUAAUAUGGAUCUGCGGAUGGCGAGGUCGGUCAGGUCGUUUUUAGUUAUUUGCUAACCCAAUGGGCCAUUGUGAAAAGUAAAAAUAAUCACAGUUAUCAAAUAUAAUUAAAAGUCAUCGAAGCAUAUAAUAUGGAUCUGCGGAUUUAAAAAACAAUACAUAAUGGGCCAGACCAUUACAUAAUAAUACUUUUAUAUCUUUCAGAAAUCUGUUUCUUUCCAAGAUUAGAGAAAAUUAAAAGCAUAUAUAGUUUUCAAAUCGUUUUCAUACAUCAAGAUUAAAUACAAUGUUUAAACCAAGACUUUAAUUUUAUAUCUUUCAGCAACCUUUUAAAUUAGCUAGUCAUCUAUUGAUCUCAACCUAAUUACUUUAUUAUGCUACUUUCUUUCAUUUUUUGAAUUCAAAUCUUAGAAUUAAUAUUUUAAGAAUGAAUUAUUAAGUUCUUUAAAACAUAUCAAAUUAAUUUAAGGAUAUAUUCUUCACAUCAUCUAAAAAAAAUUAAUUUAAUUGACGUACAAGCUCGUUGAAAAAGACCUUUAUUAUCAAAUAAUAUGCAAAUCAGACGCGGUGCUCCACCUGCCGAAGACUUUCUUGAUUUUAAACAAAUUAGCGGGACGUCUCCAUUCUCCAAGAGAAGAAAAGUAUGAAGCUGCGUGUCUUGAUGCCAAGUAUACUGCUGGCUUCGUCAAUCCACGAGGAUGCUGAUUGAUUUUAGAAUUGUCACCCUUUACAUCAUGAGUUUGUUCAUUGAUUUUAGAAUGGAUUUGGCGUAUAACUUUUCUUCUGGUGAUCUCUCUGUUUUUUUUUUUUUUUUUUUUUUUUUUUGUUUUUUUUUUUUUAAAAGAAAUGUGUUUUAUUGAUUUUUUUAUGUAUUUUUUUUGCAUAGAAAAUCAAGUAUUUUUUAGUGUUUUUUGAUUGUAUAGUAAUAUAUUGUAGACUUAGGUUUUCUUGCUCUUUUUUUUUUUCAUUUGUGUUUUAUUUUUUACAAGAGAUGUGAUUUCAUGAAUUCUUUCAGGAUUAUCUUAGCAUAGAAAAUCAAGUAUAUUAUAAGGUUUCUUAGUUGACUAGUAAAAUCUUGUAGACUUAGGUUUGCUUGCCCUUUAUUUGAUUCCCUGAUCACUCUCACAAAGUCGUAAUAACUAGUACCGGGAAAGAGACUAAUAUUCCUUCUUCAUUUUUAUUUUAUUUUUUCAUCAUUUGCACUGAGCUAUCGCUGAUCCCUUUUUUUGUUUUUUUUGUUUUUUUUUUUAAAAGUCUAACCUGUGCAAUUGCAUCUACAUUUCUUCCACACUAGAUUGACUUGGUAUUAUAGCUAGAAAAUGUUAAGAAAUAUCUUUGAACCACAUUUUUGUUGGGGAUUCCGACCGGUGAUGUACUGAUAAUUGCUCAUAGGAGGGAAAACACACUGACACAUAAUAUUUAACGUGGUUCGACAAAUUGCCUACAUCCACAGGAAAUGUUCAUUUUAUUAGAGAUAAAUAAAAAAAGGUUUACAACACAUAUGAAGGAGGAGGAUCACUUCAUUCAAACUCACUCACAGCUUACAUUGCUGCACUUGCAGCUCCUAGUCUCUCUUUCUCUUACAUUGCUAUUGUAGCCUUUCACUUUCUCUCUUGGUCUCUCUACAUGUGUCACAACUCUCUCUAACUUCUCACUCUUUGCUCUCUAAAAUCAUGUCUCUUUUAUAGGCAUCAAUGACAGCUCCUUUGUCAGCAAUGGUGGCUGUCAACUCAUCUCUUCUUCAACAAUGAUGGCUGCCAAAGCCAAACUCAAGGUUGGUGGCUGUCACCAACAAGCCACCAUUGUAGCCUCCUUCUUUGACAAUGAUGACUGCCAAGGAUGCAAUGGUUGGUGCGGUCCAUUUGCUGCACAUGCAAUGGCUACCAACCCAACAAUUUUAACUAUGUUUAAGGGCUGAUAUAUACGAACUUGAUUGGGUUUCGUUAGCUCAAAACCCCAAAAGAAAAAUGAAAAUGAAGUCCAUAUUUCGAAUCAGCCUCUUACUAUUGCCAAUAUUAUUUCAGUCAGCAACAGCUGCAGCACCCAUGACAAAACCUGGAUGUCAAAACCGUUGUGGAAACAUCAGCAUUCCUUACCCCUUUGGAACUGUACAAGAUUGCUAUGCAAAUAAAAUGUUCAAGAUUGUAUGCAGGGAAACUGCCAAUGAGUCAGCUCCAAGAGCUUUUAUUAGCAUGAUCAAUAUGGAGUUUCUGAAUAUUACAGAUGGUGCAGCAAUUGUCAACGGUCCAAUAAUGUCCUCCAAUUGUUCUGACAGGCAAUCCAAUCUACCUGCUCUGAAUUUGACGGGAAGUCCCUUCUUUUUCUCCUUUGGUAAUGUGUUCACUGCAGUGGGUUGCAACGUCCGCGCGUUGUUGACAGUGCUGACUAUGAUCAGAAAACUCUGCUUUACGGGCACAUAACAUACCCAAAAAUCAAGAUGAUCCAACGGUAGAAGAAUGAGAAAUCGGCCGACGACAGUGACAGAUCUGGUCUGGACGAUGACGAAGGUGUGGUGGCUGGCCAAAACUUCCUCUCCACUUCUGUUUUCUGUUGGUUUAUUUCUAGUCGUUCUUCUCUGUUUCACAUUGCGCCUCUGCUUUUUCUCUCUGUGUUCUUCAAUAAGUAGAUCAGGUUUUGAUGAUUGGAUCUGGGAUGAUGUGAUGGGAGGACAUGUCGAAGGAGGAGGAGAUGAGAUUCAAGAAGACAACAUGCUAUCUUGGUUGUGGGAGAGCGAUCAGGUGGAGUUGCUGCUCUGACUGUGACUUGGCCAUUGUUGUUAUUGGAUCUUCUUGCUUGUUCUCUAACUGGAUCUUCCUAGAGCCAGGAGUAGCUAAUUGAAACCUUUGCAAGAUACCUAGGAAACGAACAAACCUGAGCUCUUCUGAAUCUUUUCAACGAAACUGAGAAUGAUAGUACUAUGGGGUGAUGAUGCCUCUGAGUUCAAACCAGAGAGGUUUGCUGAAGGUAGCUUGAGAUUUGCUACUUGAAUCACUACUUAAUUCUUUCUAAAUGGAAUAACACUCAAGAAAUCUUCAUGAACCAUGGAAGCUUGUGGCACAGACUUUUAAACGGUGGUUGACUUCUUCAAGAGUAAUUUGAUAAACACACAUAACUCGUAUAAAUCCUCCAGGGAAGAAGCAUAAAAACUAUAAUAGAUCAUGUUGGGUAGCCAUGGAGAGGAAGAGCUUGACCAAAUGAUCAGGUACUACCUUGUUUUUAUUUGCAAAAUCAUUACAUUUCUGUGUUCUUGCUGGUGUUAAAACUCUCGAUGUCUGGUUUUAGUUAUUUUACAUACACUCUGUCUAUAGUUACUAAAUUUUGAAAAAAAAAGAUUUAAUAACAUAACUUUAAUUCUCCAUGUAGAAAUUUUUGUUUUAAAACAAAACAUUUUAAGGCUAUGGGUUUUUUUUUUUUUUUGGGACAGAAAAGGAUUUCUAAACUACUAGUUUUUUUAAAAAAUGUAAAUAUUUCCUCCUUGCACUCUCUGACUUUAGCAUAUGAAUCAUCUUGCCGCGAUGCCUGCGUGGGAAAGCCGUACAUUGGAUGCGUAGGUGAAAGUGCUCAAGAAAAGACUACGAUGUUGUUAUUGCUACGAAAGGCCACCUUAUUUAGAAUUUCUCGUUGAAUUUUCGUACAAUAAUUUGGACACUCAGUUUGUUGUGCAGCUCGAGCGAUCUUGGGGAAGGUGGUCAAGGCAUACCUCCGAUGGUUUUAAUGUGAACAGAAUACUUGGAGAAGGUGGUCAAGGCACUGUUUACAAGGGAAUGUUAACAGAUGGAAGAAUUAUUGCUGUUAAAAAGUCCAAAGUCCUUGAUGAAGAAAAUCUCGAAGUAUAUCCAUGUUCAAAACGAUGAAUUCUUGUUAUCUUGGGAAAUGCGAUUACGGAUUGCCAUUGAGGUUGCGGGAGCUCUUUCUUAUCUACACUCGGCAGCAUCGAUUCCGGUUUAUCACUGUGAUAUCAAGUCUACAAACAUACUCCUAGAUGAGAAAUAUAGAGCCACAAUAUCAGAUUUUGGAUCUUCAAGAUCCAUUGCCGUCGAUCAAACUCACUUGACCACUCAUGUGCAGGGUACUUUUGGCUACUUGGAUCCAGAGUACUUCCAGUCUAGUCAAUUAACAGAAAAAAGUAAUGUUUAUAGCUUUGGAGUGGUUCUGGUUGAGCUUUUAAGUGGACAAAAACCGAUAUUUUCCGCUAGCCCAACAGAAAGUAGAAGUUUAACCUCGUUGAUUCUGAACGUUAAUGGUUCAGUUCGCAAAAGCAGCAGCACCUGUUGCGAAGAUUGGUUGUCCAGAUCGAUGCGGAGACAUUACCAUUCCUUACCCUUUUGGAACUGGAAAAGACUGCUACAAGGACGAAUGGUUCGCGGUUGAAUGCAACAACACCACCAACCCUCCUAGAGCUUUUAUAAGUCGAAUCAAAAUGGAGGUGCUGAAUAUUUCAGUUAAGACAGCCACUGCUACUGUCAAAAGUCCAGUAAUAUCCUUCAAUUGUACUGCCAGGAAAGAUGGUGGAUCUCUGGAUCUCACUGGAUCUCCCUUUGUUUUCUCCGAUUUCAGGAAUGUGUUCAUUGCAGUAGGUUGUGAUACUCGAGCUUUCAUGAGCGGGAUUGAGCCGGAUCUCGUCGGUUGCGAGCCUACAUGCGGUAACCAGCAGAGGACUAACGUUUGGUUGCAACAAAAUAAUGUGUUCAGGUCGAAAUUGCUGUCAGGCUUCAAUCCCUUCACUCCUUCAGGUAGAGAAGCAUGCAAGCUAGCCGUUUUGGUGAAUAGGACAUGGUUUGCAUCGAAUAUAAAGAUUACGUUCCAGCGAACUUGGGUUGGCUGGUGAACGUGAAUGAUUCUGAUAUUUCCAUUUAUUGCAAAAUACAUCAUAAUGAAUCCUUAAAAUCUAAUAGUUAGUUUAGAUACAUGAAAAUAUUAUUUUUAAGGUAUUUAUUUAUUUUACACAAAAAUAAUUUCUCUAGAAUACAACUAAGCCCUCUAAACCUCUAAAAAAAUAAAAAAAUAAAAAAAGUGAAAUAUUAUAAUGAAACAUUAUGUCUUUUAAUAUUAUGAUUGUAAAUGAAACUAUAUAAUUGUUAAUGAAACAAUUAUAUUUUAAAUUAGAUUAAAUAACUGUUAUUCAGUUUUAUCUUAACAGUAAUAAAUAUCAAAAUUAAUUUCAUUAACGUAUUAAAUAUCGUAAAUAUAAUUGAGGGUAACCCUUACUUUGAACUUGGUUGCCUAGGUAAAUAUUCAUCUUAUAUUUUUUCUUGAUUUAUUUAUUAAUUUUAUUCAAACAAUAGUUUUUUUUGUGUGUGUUUAUGUAAUCAAAUUUAAUGAUGGUAAGUGUCAGAUUAAAAUAAAAUGUUAAUUAAUUAACGAUGGCAAAUACAUGAUUGGUUUAGAAUCAGGAAGUAGUCUAGUAAUUUAAUACUGGCGUGUUAGUUUCAAAAUUUUAUUUUUAAUUUAUUCCAGUUUGAGUUAAUUACUAUUAGCUAGAUAUUUUUAAUGUGGAACUAAAAUUAAUAAAAAUUAAUUACUUGGCAACUGAUAUGGUGAUUUUUUAUUUGGUUCAUGAGGUUGUUGGGAUUUGUCAUUAAUGAGCAAUAAAUGGUGUAACCUACUCUAAGAAGUAGGGUACUAUUGUCAAAUGGUAGUUGCACCCACCAUUGACAAAAUGGUGCAACCCAUGUGCAACCACUUUGUUGAAGAAUAAGAGCUGCCAUUGAAGCCUGUAAAUAGGCACCAAGAGAGAGAGCAAAAUGAGAGAGAUUGUGAGUGCAAUAAAGAGACUAAGAGAGAAAGUGAAGGGCUGCAAUGGCAGCAGCUGCAACGGCAGUAAUGAAAGAUGGAGUAGAGUAGAGUAAAGUGAUCCUCCUCCUCUAUGUGUGUUGUAAACCUUUCUCUAUCUAUCUCUAAUAAUAUUGACUCUCCUGUGGAUGUAGGCGAUUUGCCAAACCACGUUAAAUAUUGUGUCAGUAUGCUUACCCUCCUUAUGAGCAAUUACCGGUACAUCACCAGUCGGAAUUCCCUACAAUUGGUAUCAGAGCUGACGGUUUGAAGUGGUGUUUGAUUUUUGCUCAAAAAUGAAAGUUGUCAAAAUUGUGUUUUGACCAUACCACUGUGUAGAGGAGGAAGAGACGAAGCCACUGGUGAAAACGGCAUCAAAAUCGGACGUCGGACAUGGCCGCACGCGCUGUCACUCUCCGGAAAGGCGUAUGCCCACGCGCGCAAACACGCCUAUGCGUCUUCUUCACCCGGAUGGGUUGACCCGACCUGAAUACUAGUUGACCCGACCCAUGUGACUGACCCGGAUAAGGAUGAUGUCAGCAUGACAUAAAUGUGACAUCAUCAUGCACAGUAGCAUGCAUAUGAUGACGUUAGCAUACAUAGUCGGCAUGCCAUGUCAUUGACAAGUCAACAGACACUUCAGCACAGUGGGCCCACCUGCCAUGUCAUCAGCCGCGAGCUGAGGGACAGGAUCCAGUGUAGCUGAUCCGACAUGCAACCGGAACUGAGAUUGAAUCUGAGCCAUUGAUCAGGCUAGAAUUGUUUUGAUCAAAUCUUAGCCGUCUGAAAUGCGAUUUGGACGAUUUCAGACUUGUUUCCAGCUAAUUUGAUCGUUGUGGAUGCAAUGGUAUGGUCUAAUCGUUGAGAUUCGAGACCGAAAAUGGUGGUGGUGAAUUAUUAAAGAGAGAUUGCCCGAUCAGGAGGCAUCUGAAGGUCUUGAUGGUGGUCGAUGGAGAUGAAGAAGAAGAAGGUGCACAUGUUUACCCAAUUACAUGUGCUGAACUGUUAAGUGGGGAAAUUUAAUUGCCUUAAUGAAAGGCAAAAUUAGGACACUUUAGACACCCGAGAUGUAGACGAUUUGAGGUGGAGAGUGAAAACUGAUGAAGACCAAUCUUGACGAAUCUAAGCACUGGGAGUCUCGUCAGAUGUUGAGAAAUCAGGUAUAAAACCAGGAUACCCAGAUCACUUGUAAAGGAAAGCCGCAACAAAGCUAGCAAAUGGUUGUAUAUACGGAAAGACAGUACGAUGGAUAGAUAUGGCCUAAGAAGUUUUGUCUAGGAGAUUGGGUUUUAAGCGGGACCAGUGUGACCCCUCCAAUCUUUCCUGGGAACUUGCUUAGUGGAAGGAUUAUCCAUACGGUACUAUUUUCGUAUAUGUAACAGUUUGUAAUGAAACUGGUGAAGACUAGCAGGAAGACGACAUAAGGGGAACAGUUGGGUUCCGUAUGAUCAAGGAUCUGAUGGAGUGGUGAUUUCUCCAAAGAAGGUAGAUUCGGUAACUGUGAUUUCUCGAGGGGAGAAUUGAUGAAGAUCCUGAUAAUGGAAGAGAAAUACAGCAAGGGGAUGAAGAUUGGCAUCCUAUUUUGACUUGGAUAGGUGUUGUAACAAGAUGAGCUGCUGUCAAACAUAAACAAGGAAUAGGGAGAAAUCUGGAGAACAAUAUUGCACGAGGGCACACGGAGAUUAUGCAGGAGUACCCAUAGUGUCGCACCCCAAAACAAAAUACAACGCGCGGCAUCGGCUGGCGAUUUUUAUCGUUGUUGUUUUGCUGAUUUGGUUCUUUGGAGUCGUCACCUAGUAAUUGAUUGCGAGCUACUAGGAAACCGGAUGUACUGGUCUUGUCAGAGAUUCCUGGGUAAGGGUCUGGUUGUGGUUAGGGAAGGUAUUAGCACCCCUAACGCACCUUACCUGAGGUAAGCUGCUUCGCGGAUUUGAUGUGUUAAAGAAGUUUUAAUAAUUGUCUUUUCAUCAGAAAUUAGAAAUAUCACUUACGUAUAAGUUAAUAAUUCUUAACCAUGAUCCAAUCAAAAUAUUAAAUUCUUCUUUAAUAUCUGCAAUUUUAUCAUUAAAAAAAUAUAUAUAUAAAAAAUAAAACAAAUACAAACAACACAUACACUUUCACUAUUUUUUUUUGUUUCUUUUCUUUUCUUUUUCUUUUCUUUUACAUCCACAAUACAAAUACAAAUUUCAAAAUCAAAACAAAUAAAUAAACAUUACAUUACUUAAUUUCAAAAUUACAAAAUAGUCCAUAAAACUCUCGAAAUUGCAUUGAAGGCCUUCUGACACGGAAUGAACAGGGGCGGUGUGUCCUCCCACGCGCUGCCGCGAAAUCCAGAGGCGUGGGGAGAUCCGUAAUGGCUUCCUUCCCUCUUCACCCUCCAGUCGGCUGUGAGAAACGCCGUUACCUGCAAAUCACCCAAAAAUCGCAACAAGCAAAUCUGUUUUAAUUUGGUUUUCAAAUCGGCUCCCUUCUACCUUCCAUUCAAAUCUGUUUUCACUGCAGAUCUCCUCCUUUACAGGCGGUCGCUGGCUUUGAGUUCAGGGCAUCUAUGGCCGGAUGACAGAGGCGCAGGGGGGGGCGUGGCUCUGCUGGUUGCUGGAUCUUCGGACGACGCCGUUGCGGCUGGAUCUCGGUCGAGAUCUGCUACACGAGUUUGAGUCGGAGGCGGGCCGGUUGCUGAAGGGUUUCGGUGGAGGCCGGUCCGGUUGGUUCUUUCCUCUGCCAAGAAGAUGGAGAGACCAAUAAGAGAUGGGAGGGGCGGCUGGAGAGGGAAAGGCUGAGAGUUUGCAGUGAGGGAGAGAGUGUCCGGCCGGUUGGAGAAGAAACGGCUGAGAGGGGGAGAUUUGUCUCGCGGCGGAUGGAGAACAAACAAGGCCAGGGGGCGCUGUUCGGUUUGUGGCUGAUUUGUGGCUGAGAGAGGAGAGGGACGGUGGGCUGUGCAAGGGCUGAGGAAGAAGAUGAAGAUUCCGGCCGGGGCUGCUGUUUUGACCGGUUUAAGGGAGAAGAGAAAAAUCAAAGGUGGGGGGGCUGCGACUGCUUGUGCAGAGGAGAUGCCAAAAAAAAAAAAGAAGGAGAGGUGGGUGAUGGCCGGAGAAAAGAGGCUGGCAACCGAUUGUGAGAGGAGAAAAAAAAAUCCCGGUGGGGGCUGGCGGCUGCCCUAAAAAAAAUGGGUUUAGGUUUAGGUUUUGUAUUUUUUUUGAUGUUCUCAAAAUUACCCCCUACUAAAAAAUCAGUGUAGCAUGGUAUUUAUAGGAAAACUUUUGCUAGGUUUUUCAACUUGGUCCCUCAACUUCUUUCUUUUUGUAAAUUUUGAUUUUUCUUAUUUUUUUGUAUUUUUUUCAAAACGAGCAAUAUCAACGUCGACUCAAUGAGGAAAAUCAAUGAUUUAAAAGUGACGCGUGAAAAGUCGGACGUGUUUGAAAAUCUUUUAAAAAUUUAAAUUCUUUUUUAGACGACGUUGAAAAUGCUAAAAUGACGAAAAUAUAUUAAAAACAUAUUUUUUGGAUUUUCAUUGUUUUUUCUCUAUUUUUUGUAUUUUUUGAAAAUAUAUAAAAAACAUGGGUCAAAAAAAUAGGUAGCAACAAAUGCCCCCUCUUUACAAUGCUUACGAAGCAAAACUCCUCAAAAAUUUGCAUUGUAAGCUUUGUAAAGAAAACAAAAGAAAAAUGAUUUCAUUAUCUUGGGUGACUUGCCCACACACUCACACUGAUCUAUUUUCACGGGCGACCUGCCCACACAUACUCAAAGUGGUCUAUUUUCACGGGCGACCUGCCCUUUUUAUUGGGUUUACCUGAGAUACCAUCUAGCGAUCUAACAAGAAUAAAAAUCGGUGUGUAGCUCGGUCAACUUGAAAUCCCAUCUACUAAUUCCCUUUAACCAAAAUCCUUUCCAAUUAGGUUAAACUGAGAUCCCUUCACCGAUCUCCUUUAACCAUAACCAAGGUCUGUGUGGUUAGACUGAACUGAGAUCCCUUCGCCGAUCCCCUUCAACCAGAACCAAAAUCCUUUCCAAUUAGGUUAAACUGAGAUCCCUUCACCGAUCCCCUUUAAUCAUAACCAAGGUCUGUGUGGUUGGGCUGAACUGAGAUCCCUUCGCCGAUCCCCUUCAACCAGAACCAAAAUUCUUUCCAAUUAGGUUAAACUGAGAUCCCUUCGCCUAUCCCCUUUAACCAUAACCAAGGUCUAUGUGGUUAGACUGAACUAAGAUCCCUUCGCCGAUCUCCUUCAACCAGAACCAAAAUCCUUUCCAGUUAGGUUAAACUGAGAUCCCUUCGCCGAUCCCCUUUAACCAUAACCAAGGUCUGUGUGGUUAGACUGAACUGAGAUCCCUUCGCCGAUCCCCUUCAACCAGAACCAAGAUCCUUUCCAAUUAGGUUAAACUGAGAUCCCUUCGCCGAUCCCCUUCAACCAGAACCAAGAUCCUUUCCAAUUAGGUUAAACUAAGAUCCCUUCGCCGAUCCCCUUUAACCAUAACCAAGGUCUGUGUGGUUAGACUGAACUGAGAUCCCUUCGCCGAUCCCCUUCAACCAGAACCAAAAUCCUUUCCAGUUAGGUUAAACUGAGAUCCCUUCACCGAUCCCCUUCAACCAGAACCAAAAUCCUUUCCAAUUAGGUUAAACUGAGAUCCCUUCGCCGAUCCCCUUUAACCAUAACCAAGGUCUGUGUGGUUAGACUGAACUGAGAUCCCUUCGCCGAUCCCCUUCAACCAGAACCAAAAUCCUUUCCAGUUAGGUUAAACUGAGAUCCCUUCGCCGAUCCCCUUUAACCAUAACCAAGGUCUGUGUGGUUAGACUGAACUGAGAUCCCUUCGCCGAUCCCCUUCAACCAGAACCAAAAUCCUUUUCAAUUAGGUUAAACUAAGAUCCCUUCGCCGAUCCCCUUUAACCAUAACCAAGGUCUGUGUGGUUAGACUGAACUGAGAUCCCUUCGCCGAUCCCCUUCAACCAGAACCAAAAUCCUUUCCAAUUAGGUUAAACUAAGAUCCCUUCGCCGAUCCCCUUUAACCAUAACCAAGGUAUGUGUGUAACUCGGUCAACCUGAAAUCCCAUAUGGAGAUUCCCUUUAACCAAAGCUACAUGAGAUCCUUUCUGGCGACCUCAUCACUGGAACUAAACAAUAUGUGUAACUCGGUUAACCUGAAAUCCCAUCUAGCGAUUCCCUUUAACCAAAGCUACAUGAGAUCCCAUCUGACGACCUCAUUCAAGUGGAAUGAAAAUAUGUGUAACUCGGUUAACCUGAAAUCCCAUCUGGCGAUUCCCUUUAACCAAAGCUACAUGAGAUCCUAUCUGGCGACCUCAUUCAACUGGAACGAAAAUAUGUGUAACUCGGUUAACCUGAAAUCCCAUCUGGCGAUUCCCUUUAACCAAAGCUACAUGAGAUCCCAUCUGGCAACCUCAUUCAACUGUAACGAAAAUAUUGUGCAACUCGGUUAACCUGAAAUCCCAUCUGGCGAUUCCCUUUAACCAAAGCUACAUGAGAUCCCAUCUGGCGACCUUAUUCAACUGGAACUAAAAAACUGUGUGUAACUCGGUUAACCUGAAAUCCCAUCUGGCAAUUCCCUUUAACCAAAGCUACAUGAGAUCCCAUCUGGCGACCUCAUUUAACCAAAACAAAAGAAUAUGUAAAAAAAAAAACGGUCUCAUUGUAAUGGGUGACCUACCCAGGUGGAAAGAAUAUGAAAAAAACGGUUUCAUUAUGAUGGGUGACCUACCCAAAUGGAAACAAUAUGAAGUGCGGUCUCAUUAUAAUGGGUGACCUACCCAAAAUGGAAAAAAUAUGAAGUAGGGGUCUCAUUGUAAUGGGUGACCUACCCAGAUGAAAAAAAUAUGAUGAAGUGUGGUCUCAUUGUCAUGGGUGACCUACCCAGAUGGAAAAAUAUGUGAAAAAUGGUCUCAUUAUGACGGGUGACCUACCUAGAUGGAAAAAAUAUGAAGAAAUGUGGUCUCAUUGUCAUGGGUGACCUACCCAAAUGGAAAAAAAUGUGAAAAACGGUCUUAUUAUGAUGGGCGACCUACCCAGAUGGAAAGAAUGUGAUAUGACAAGUGUGAAAAAUAGGACUUACCUGGCGAAGUCCUGAGGGGAUGACAGAAGAAGGGCUGGAAAACUUGGUGCUUCCUGAUAAUUCCCGAUCAUAGGGUUUGAAAACUCGGUGUUUCCUGACUGCAAGGGUUGAAAACUCGAGGCUUCCCGGUUGCAAGGUUGAUCUAUUCAUUUCUUUGGGAUUUUCCUAAUGGUAGGGUUCAUCCCAUCGUCCUUUUAUUCCAUGAUCAAAACCGAUUCUUUAUUAUCAUCACCACAAUGCUUCUUUCUCUUUCCACCAUCUUGCUGGACCUCAUUAAGGAUUUUCCUGUAACAAUUCAAAAAUAUGUGCAAAUGGUUUUUUUUUUUUUUGAGGUUAGAUGAUAUGCAUGCAUCCUUACCUGAUUUGAAAUAUAGGUCCCCCCCUCUUUGAUGCUCCAUCGUCAUAGGGUGCCCUUGUUUGUAUCCCAAAGCUUUCUUUGUUCUUCCGAUGCAUUGGCUCAUUCAUGUGCUAGCCAUCCACUCAGCUGUAAAUGCAGUGCCCAUCCCGGGCUGUCUUCGACAAUUACUGCUUGCAUCGUUCAUCAAGCUUGACCCUGCCCCCAAGUGUGGUGCUGCUCGAUUCAUUAUGAAGGAUUUUCUCUCCUAGAUUCUUUCGAGGAUUAUCCUUUGAUUCAUUGUGUGCAUCAUGCCAACACCCAUCAAGAUUGUUAACCAGUCUGAAACUGCCUCCAGUUGAAACACCAUUCAAGUAUAUGUGGUCAUCCAUAAUCAUGGAACUGCCACGUCAUUCCGACAUGCAUCUCAUACUUUGCAGGGAAAGGCUCAUCGUUGUAAGCUCAAUGUUUUCCUCAAAAAGUUCUUCUCACCCAUCUAAUCAGAUCUUGAAAAGAAAUGUAUUGGCAUCAUCAAUGAUGUUCAUGUUAUCACCCAUAUUCAUGCGGUGAAGUGUGCAUUUGAGCUUCAAAACAAAUGGUCCCACAGUCAGUCUUGGUGGGUGCAUCCUUCCAGCAUUCAUGCACAUGCAACUAUGUGAUAACAUCGUUCAAAAGUCAUAACCAUGUUGAAGAUGAUAAACCAAAAUGAAGAUAUGAAAAUAUCCUUCUAGUGCAGCGUUGCUCAUCAAUUGCUGCUGAAGUGCACUAGAUCAUGGAUUGUCUUUGAACAACAUUGCCCCAAUAUGAUCUGAAGGUUCGUUCAUCGGUUUAUACUCAAGAAGGUUUUUCCUUUGUCAUUGUCAGAUGCUAAACAUAACUUUGAUGAACUUUGACGACUCAUCAUCUGAUUCUUUCUUUGCCCCCAGCUGAUCAGAAUGUUGUUUGUUUUUCUUCCAAGGGUCCACUGUAUUGCCCCUAGGUGGUCAACGUAUCAAGGAGUGUUGAGAAAUGUUGAUGUUAUUUUUGUCAAGGAUUUUGCAAACUCCAUCGAUGUUCUUGUUUGAAAAUCUUUCUUGUUUUAGAAUCAAAUCUCAUACUUCAAAGAUCAUGUCUAUUUAAAGUCUAGUUGUUGAGAUGAAAUCAAAGAUGUUGGUUUUUUUUUUUUUAAAACAAAAAAGUCUUUUCAUAAUGUUGUAACCCAUUUUUAGGUCCCCACAAAAAUAAAAUAAUAUAUAUAUAUAUAUAAAAUAAAUAGCCAAAGAAGGUUAGAAAAAUAACAGGAGGUAGAAGCGCUCAGAAUAUGGUCGGAAGAUUGGUCAAGGAGGGUAAAAAAUACAAAGAUUGGAUUUUUGACAGUAUAUUCUUGAAGGAUGAGAGCCCUGUUGAGAAGGAAAAUUUGAAUUUUGAGGAGAAAAGCCCAAAUUUGGAUGUUUAUGGACUUAAUUGGAUUUUAUUUGAAUUUAUAGAGGAUUUGAGUGUAAGAAAAAUUAAUUUUAAGUCAAUUUGGGCUUUAAUUAGAAGAAAUUUAAGUUCUGGGGCCAAAAUAUAAUUUUUUGGAAUUUAUUAGGUCAAAUCAGGGGCUUAAUUGCAUAAAUAUUGAAGUUUAAUGGCCAAUUAGGGGCUCAAUUGUGAAAAUCCGAAACCAGGGACCAAUUUGGAAAACGCGGCCAACUAUGGGGGCGAGGACCGAAAUUGGCAGGGACGCAAUUGAAAGAAACAAAAGAUAAUUGAGGGCUGAUUUGAAAUUUGGCGCAUUCUGGCGCCCUUUUAAAAUGAAACGGCGCGUUUUCCCCAAAACGACGCCGUUUCAUAAAAAAAAAAAAAAAAGAAGAAGAAGGACCGAACGGUGCCGUUUUGAACGGCAUUGUUCCCCUUUCUUCUUCCUCCCCGAACGUGCAGCAGGCAUGGGAAGAAAGCUUGUUUAAUCAGCCGCUGCCCCUCUCUCCUCGCGUGCGCUGACAGAACCCGGAGCCCAUACACCUCGGACGACGAGAAGCCAGGAGGGCCACGCCUUGAUCAACCACCCUCGCCAACCGGCCGACCGGCGCUGUUCUGCUCCCCACGUUGCCCAGCUCAGCCCAUGCAGCCCCGCUCCCUUUGCCCGCCUAUAAAAGAAGGGGGGAGACUGGAAGCUGGGGGCAGGAAAAACAGAAAAAAGACCGAAGUGAGGAAAGAGAGAGAAGAGAGAGAACGAACGUGAGAAAAGGAAGAGAACGAACGUGAGAAAAGGAAGAGAACGAACAAAUGAAAAAUAACAAAAGAACAGAAUAAACUGAGAAAAAAAGAAGGAACAGAGAGAACCACCGAAAACAAGAGGAAGAGAGGAGAAGGGGAAGAGGUCUUUCUCUCGCCGCUGUUCGACAGCCACAACACCGCCCGGAGCCGUCAUCCGCCAUCCAUGCCCCCGCAGCACCACCAGCAACCGCCUCCUCACGCCAGGUACACAUCUUAUUCCCCCCUGCAUUUUUUCGAAUGGCAUGAAGUUGCCCCCUGCAUGCAGAAUCGUUCUGCAUGCAGGAGGUGGGGGGGGGAAAUAAUUCCCCCCCCCCGUUCGGCCUUCAUUGCUGGGCCAGGCUGAUACUGGCCCAGCGUUAUUAAUCUUCUUCUGUUCUGGGCCAGACGGUUUCUGGCCCAGAAAUAUUUGCGAUGGGCCAGAAUGGUUCUGGCCCAAUCCAUUUUUCUUCUGGGCUGAGUCCGGCCCAGUUAGUUGGGCCGACCCAGCCCACUCAAUAUAUUAUAUAUUAUAAUAUAUAUGUAUGCAUAUGAUAUGUAUAAAAAUAAGAAAAAAUAUUUUGAAAAAUAUUGUUGAUUUUUCCAGUAUUUUUUAUUUAAGGUGGAUUAAUAUCGGGUUGUAUUUUUAUACCGUAAGGAUACAAACCCAGUAUUAAAAUACCUGGUUUUUUGUCAAAACAUCAAAGAUUUUCAAAAUAAAAAAUGUUUUUGCUUUUAAAUUUUUUUUCCAAAAGUCCUUAAAAAUAUUGUUGAUUUUUCCUGCAUUUGUUAUUAAGGUGGAUAUUAAAAUACCCGAUUUUCGUCAAAGCAUAAAAAAUAAUAUUUUCCAAAAAAAAAUUGUUUUUGUUUUAAAAUACGGUCUAGUCUCUCCAAUAUAUAUAUAUAUAUAUAAAUAUUAUAACAUCGUAUUUUCACACAACAAAGGAAAUUUCAAAACAAUAUAUGUAUUAGCACGCAUUUUGGCUUUAAUAACCAGUUUAUUCAAGCCAUGAGAACUAGGCCAAUAUUUCAAAAAUUCCAAAAAAAUUAUUGUGUUUUCUUUUAGUAUUUGGGGUUACGAUCUUAUACGUAAGACGUAUUCCGAAUAUUAAAUUAUUUUGUUAACGUCAGAAUUACCCAUUAAGAUAAGGAUCUCCUUACCGAGGAGGACUUUUUUGAACCAUACCAACAACUAGGAAAGCACGAAAAGACCUUAGAUUUUAUCAGACAAUAAAACAAUGCAGCUUACCUUAGGUAGGGCGUAUUUGGGGUGCUAAUACCUUCCCUUUACGCAACCAGUCCCCGUACCCGAUCUUUGAG
rnacentral:lncRNA from 1 species